rnacentral:rRNA from 1 species
GACGAACGCUGGCGGCGUGCUUAACACAUGCAAGUCGAACGGAAAGGCCCUGCUUUUGUGGGGUGCUCGAGUGGCGAACGGGUGAGUAACACGUGAGUAACCUGCCCUUGACUUUGGGAUAACUUCAGGAAACUGGGGCUAAUACCGGAUAGGAGCUCCUGCUGCAUGGUGGGGGUUGGAAAGUUUCGGCGGUUGGGGAUGGACUCGCGGCUUAUCAGCUUGUUGGUGGGGUAGUGGCUUACCAAGGCUUUGACGGGUAGCCGGCCUGAGAGGGUGAACGGCCACAUUGGGACUGAGAUACGGACCAGACUCCUACGGGAGGCAGCAGUGGGGAAUAUUGCACAAUGGGCGGAAGCCUGAUGCAGCAACGCCGCGUGCGGGAUGACGGCCUUCGGGUUGUAAACCGCUUUAGCCUGUGACGAAGCGUGAGUGACGGUAAUGGGUAAAGAAGCACCGGCUAACUACGUG